AAGAAACACUGACAUUUCAGAUUAAAGAUAUUUCUGGUGUCUGACACCGAUACAUAGGUCGUGUUUAUGUGUCAGUAUCGAUGUCGGAUGUUAGUGUUUCAUAGAAGGAUAUAAAUUAAUUAAUCAAGUCAUGUUUGUGUUUAUAAGUACAUAUACCCCAAAAGUGGUGGUAUUCUUUAGUUAAUCUAUUUGUUUUAUAGUGUUUUCUUGUGUCUUGGAAAAUUAUCUUGUUGCUAAGUUUAAUUUAAAUAUUAUUCAAGUUCAAUGUAAGUUAAAUUGCAAAGCAAUGUUGUGACAAAAAUUGUCACCUUAAGGAUGUGUCUAUUGUAUAAUCACAAUAGUUAAAAUGAAUACAUAUAUAUAUUUGUUCAAUUAGCUUUUACUA
rnacentral:lncRNA from 1 species